rnacentral:rRNA from 1 species
UUGCCAGCCCGCUCAGAAACUCAAAGGAAUUGACGGGGCCCGCACAAGCGGAGGAACAUGUGGUUUAAUUCGAUGAUACGCGAGGAACCUUACCCGGGCUUGAAAUGCAUCUGACCGGCCUUGAAAGAGGUUUUCCCUUCGGGGCAGAUGUGUAGGUGCUGCAUGGUUGUCGUCAGCUCGUGCCGUGAGGUGUCGGCUUAAGUGCCAUAACGAGCGCAACCCUCAUCAUUAGUUACCAUCAGGUAAGGCUGGGGACUCUAAUGAGACUGCCAUCGUAAGAUGUGAGGAAGGUGGGGAUGACGUCAAAUCAGCACGGCCCUUACGUCCGGGGCGACACACGUGUUACAAUGGGUGGUACAAAGGGCAGCUACCUGGCGACAGGAUGCUAAUCUCCAAAACCACUCUCAGUUCGGAUCGGAGUCUGCAACUCGACUCCGUGAAGCUGGAUUCGCUAGUAAUCGCGCAUCAGCCACGGCGCGGUGAAUACGUUCCCGGGCCUU